GGGUACCGCCUCGGUUUAAAUUUCUUGGAACAGAAUGUCAAAGAGGGUGAGAAUCCCGUCUUGGACCGGCGGUAGGGCCCAUGUGAAACUCCUUCGACGAGUCGAGUUGUUUGGGAAUGCAGCUCAAAAUGGGUGGUAAAUUUCAUCUAAAGCUAAAUAUUGGCCAGAGACCGAUAGCGCACAAGUAGAGUGAUCGAAAGAUGAAAAGCACUUUGAAAAGAGAGUUAAACAGUAUGUGAAAUUGUUGAAAGGGAAGCGCUUACAACCAGACUUGCGCGCGGCGGUUCCCCCUUCCUUUUGGUUGGGCUACUCCGUCGUGUCCAGGCCAACAUCGGUUCUGGGGGUCGGUUAAAGACCCUGGGAAUGUACCUACCCUUCGGGCGUAGACUUAUAGCCCAGGGUGUCAUGCGACCUCCCGGGACCGAGGAACGCGCUUCGGCUCGGAUGUUGGCGUAAUGGUUGUCAGCGACCCGUCUUGAAACACGGACCAAGGAGUCUAACAUCUAUGCGAGUGUUUGGGUGUCAAACCCGGAACGCGAAAUGAAAGUGAACGGAGGUGGGAAGCCGUGAGGCUGCACCAUCGACCGAUCCUGAUGUCUUCGGAUGGAUUUGAGUAAGAGCAUAGCUGUUGGGACCCGAAAGAUGGUGAAC
rnacentral:rRNA from 1 species